GGUGAACGCUGGCGGCGUGCUUAACACAUGCAAGUCGCGCGGGGAAACCCCUUCGGGGGGAGUACCAGCGGCGCACGGGUGAGUAACACGUGGGUAACCUACCCCUCAGUGGGGGAUAACCGGGGGAAACUCCGGCUAAUACCCCAUAUUAUCCGGUGACGACAGUUGCUGGAUGAAAGGAGCGUUUGCUUCGCUGAGGGAUGGGCCCGCGGCCCAUCAGGUAGUUGGUGAGGUAAUGGCUCACCAAGCCUACGACGGGUAGCCGACCUGAGAGGGUGACCGGCCACAAGGGCACUGAGACACGGGCCCUACCCCUACGGGAGGCAGCAGUGGGGAAUUUUGGACAAUGGGCGAAAGCCUGAUCCAGCGACGCCGCGUGAGGGACGAAGCCCUUCGGGGUGUAAACCUCUGUUGUGAGGGACGAAUAAGAUCUGGAGGAAAUGCCAGAUCGAUGACGGUACCUCACGAGAAAGCCCCGGCUAACUACGUGCCAGCAGCCGCGGUAAUACGUAGGGGGCGAGCGUUACCCGGAUUCACUGGGCGUAAAGGGGGCGCAGGCGAUCCAGUAUGUCGGGUGUGAAAUCCCACAGCUCAACUGUGGAAUUGCGCCCGAAACUACUGGGUUUGGGGCAGGUAGAGGGAGACGGAACUGCUGGUGUAGGGGUGAAAUCCGUAGAUAUCAGCAGGAACGCCGGUGGGGAAGCCGGUCUCCUGGGCCAAGCCCGACGCUGAGGCCCGAAAACUAGGGGAGCAAACC
rnacentral:rRNA from 1 species